rfam:Octopus bimaculoides Scaffold78231_contig_22, whole genome shotgun sequence.
ACAACGGAUUUACUAAAAUCCAUUUACAAAGCAUGAGUACUUUUGU